rnacentral:tRNA from 1 species
GGGGCUGUAGCUCCGUUGGUAGAGUACUUGCCUUAGCACGAGUGAGGCUCUGGGUUCAAUCCUCAGCACCACA